rnacentral:rRNA from 1 species
UACCAGACUCCUACGGGAGGCAGCAGUGGGGAAUAUUGCACAAUGGGGGGAACCCUGAUGCAGCGACGCCGCGUGGGUGAAGGAGCACCUCGGUGCGUAAAGCCCUCUCGGCAGGGAAGAAAAGCGAACAGGUUCGCCUGGACGGUACCUGACUAAGAAGCCCCGGCUAACUACGUGCCAGCAGCCGCGGUAAUACGUAGGGAGCAAGCGUUAUCCGGAAUUAUUGGGUGUAAAGGGUGCGUAGACGGGACAGCAAGUUAGUUGUGAAAGCCCGCGGCUUAACUGAGGAACUGCAGCUAAAACUAUUGUUCUUGAGUGCAGGAGAGGAAAGCGGAAUUCCUAGUGUAGCGGUGAAAUGCGUAGAUAUUAGGAGGAACACCAGUGGCGAAGGCGGCUUUCUGGACUGUAACUGACGUUGAGGCACGAAAGUGUGGGGAGCAAACAGGAUUAGAUACCCCGGUA